rnacentral:rRNA from 1 species
GCCCCUACGGGGCGCAGCAGUGAGGAAUAUUGGUCAAUGGGCGAGAGCCUGAACCAGCCAAGUCGCGUGAGGGAAGACGGUCCUAUGGAUUGUAAACCUCUUUUGCCGGGGAGCAAAAGCGGUACGUGUACCGCAUUGAGAGUACCUGAAGAAAAAGCAUCGGCUAACUCCGUGCCAGCAGCCGCGGUAAUACGGAGGAUGCGAGCGUUAUCCGGAUUUAUUGGGUUUAAAGGGUGCGCAGGCGGUCUGUUAAGUCAGCGGUCAAAGCCCGGGGCUCAACCCCGGCCCGCCGUUGAAACUGGCAG